ensembl:snoRNA
AUCCUUUUGUAGUUCAUAAACGUGAUAAUUGAGUGUUCACAUACAUGUGUGAGAUGUUUGAGUCCCUCAAACCUUGUUACGACAUUGGCGCAUUACCCAUUUUACA